rnacentral:rRNA from 1 species
AGCGAACGCUGGCGGCAGGCCUAACACAUGCAAGUCGAACGAACCCUUCGGGGUUAGUGGCGGACGGGUGAGUAACACGUGGGAACGUGCCUUUAGGUUCGGAAUAACUCAGGGAAACUUGUGCUAAUACCGAAUGUGCCCUUCGGGGGAAAGAUUUAUCGCCUUCGGAGCGGCCCGCGUCUGAUUAGCUAGUUGGUGAGGUAAUGGCUCACCAAGGCUACGAUCAGUAGCUGGUCUGAGAGGAUGACCAGCCACAUUGGGACUGAGACACGGCCCAAACUCCUACGGGAGGCCGCAGUGGGGAAUAUUGCGCAAUGGGCGAAAGCCUGACGCAGCCAUGCCGCGUGGAUGAUGAAGGUCUUAGGAUUGUAAAAUCCUUUCACCGGUGAAGAUAAUGACUGUAGCCGGAGAAGAAGACCCGGCUAACUUCGUGCCAGCCGCCGCGGUAACAC